UUAAUACCCUACAUUUUAGGUGCCCCUAAGGGAGAAUAGGGAAGUUCGGUAAGUUAUACUAUAACAAAUCCGACGCGGACCCACCACUGUAUUCGAUGAGCUUCGUGAACCACUGGUUUUUCCGGGAAGGUUGACGAGCAAAGCGAUGAAUCGAUAGCCAGGAGACCUGCCUAAAGAUGUUUAUGUCU
rnacentral:ncRNA from 2 species